rnacentral:rRNA from 1 species
GACGAACGCUGGCGGCAUGCCUAAUACAUGCAAGUAGAACGCAGUUGCGAACGGGUGAGUAACGCGUAGGUAACUGCCUCAUAGCGGGGGAUAACUAUUGGAAACGAAAGCUAAUACCGCAUACUUUGAGAUGGACCUGCGUUGUAUUAGCUAGUUGGUGAGGUAAAGGCUCACCAAGGCGACGAUACAUAGCCGACCUGAGAGGGGGAUAGGCCAAACCUGGACGGAGACACGGCCCAGACGCCUACGGGCGGGAGCAGUAGGGAAUCUUCGGAAAUGGACGGAAGUCUGACCGAGCGACGCCGGGUGAGUGAAGAAGGUUUUCGGAGCGUAAAGCUCUGUUGUGAGAGAAGCGGUAACUACCCAGAAAGGGACGGCUAACUACGUGCCAGCAGCCGCGGUAAUUC